UACGUAGGGGGCAAGCGUUGUCCGGAAUCAUUGGACGUAAAGCGCGUGUAGGCGGUUCAGUAAGUCUGCUGUGAAAGUCCAGGGCUCAACCCUGGGAUGCCGGUGGAUACUGCUGGGCUAGAGUACGGAAGAGGCGAGUGGAAUUCCCGGUGUAGCGGUGAAAUGCGCAGAUAUCGGGAGGAACACCUAUUGCGAAGGCAGCUCGCUGGGACGUUACUGACGCUGAGACGCGAAAGCGUGGGGAGCAAACAGG
rnacentral:rRNA from 1 species